rnacentral:misc_RNA from 1 species
GAUGAAGAACGUAGCGAAAUGCGAUAAGUAAUGCGAAUUGCAGAAUUCAGUGAAUCAUCGAAUCUUUGAACGCACAUUGCGCCCGCCAGUAUUCUGGCGGGCAUGCCUGUCUGAGCGUCAUUUCAACCCUCAUGCCCCUAGGGCGUGGUGUUGGGGAUCGGCCAGCGCCCGCGAGGGACGGCCGGCCCCUAAAUCUAGUGGCGGACCCGUCGUGGCCUCCCCUGCGAAGUAGUGAUAUUCCGCAUAGGAGAGCGACGAGCCCCUGCCGUUAAACCCCCAACUUUCUAAGGUUGACCUCAGAUCAGGUAGGAAUACCCGCUGAACUUAAGCAUAUCAAUAAGCGGAGGA